UACGUAGGGCGCGAGCGUUGUCCGGAAUCAUUGGGCGUAAAGAGCUCGUAGGCGGCCUGUCGCGUCUGCUGUGAAAUCCCGGGGCUCAACCCCGGGCGUGCAGUGGAUACGGGCUGGCUGGAGGCAGGCAGGGAAGAACGGAAUUCCCGGUGUAGCGGUGAAAUGCGCAGAUAUCGGGAGGAACACCGGUGGCGAAGGCGGUUCUCUGGGCCUGUACUGACGCUGAGGAGCGAAGGCGUGGGGAGCGAUCCGG
rnacentral:rRNA from 1 species